UGCGCACCACCUCGGGGUCCGGCAGGAUC
rnacentral:sRNA from 1 species